AGCACAGGCCAGGAUGCGAUCUGGGGAAGAUGAGAAAGUAAGGAACAGAUUGGAGGCACUGAGGUGACUGACAUGAGUGACAAGUGACAAGGAGCCGCAGGAAGCGAUGCUGUGGUGGACCAGAAGAGCUUCCCAAAAUGUGAAGUUUGUUGAGAUGAAGACAAGUAAGAAGAAGGUGCUGAAAACUGCUGAGAAGCCCACAGAACUUUGGCAACAGCUCUGAUUCUGAAGUCAUGACCAUCAUCUCCCACAGAACUCUCAACAGAGAGUCAUCUCUGGUUCUCAAGUGAGCCUUAUGCCCUACAUCCCCAUUGUCUUUUCUGACUUCACUGUGUUCGAGUUCUCUGCUUCAUUCCUUCUGCUCAUUCAGGGGAUAACCCUGUGCCAAUCUUACCAAGAAAAUAUAACCACUGGGGUAAUACUUCCCCAUCUUCUGGCCACCUCCUACCUAUAAAUCUAUCCAUAUUUCCCCUUAUGACUUCUUUCAUUUCCCAGUUAGUAGAAAGGGUAUCUGCAUUCCCAAGAAAGGUAAAUCCAUCCCGAAUCUCAUGAUCAAGAUUCCUUCUCAUUUGGCCUCCUUCAUGACCAUUCUCUAACCCUUCAACUUCUCUGGUAUGUGCAACACCUGCCCAGCAUUUAAGGUACUUAAUGCUGUAUUGAGCAUGCACAAAUAGCUGUACUUAUUAUGACUUUAGAGAGUUGGCAUCAAAUGUAGAAGAGCAUUUAAUGUAUCAUGGCAAACUUGAGUCACAUUUUCAGCUCUUUGUGUACAGAGCAAUUUAAAAUUUUAACCUGUGCCUUUAAGUGCAUUUAUACCAUGAAAACUGAUUUCCAAAUACCAAAGCAGUCAUUUGAGUAAAUUCAUUUAGAAAAUAUCCAAUCAUAUUUCUUUCUCAGAAAGACUAAUUUAUACAAGCACAAGGAGGAAAAUGCCAGAAGUUCCCUUGCCCCUAAACUUAGGUCUACACUCAUGUUGUAUCUUUCCCCCCAAGCCCUGGUAUCUAAUGAAAUGUAAUUGUGCAGGGGGUCAAGUACAGAGGAAAAGCAAAAGAAUCAAAUCCACUUGGAGAGAUGGAAGGAGGAGUUCACUUUCAUAUUUCUUAAGGAGAGUGUGUUCUUUUCUUUCAUUUGCUCAAUCAUUGAAAAAGUGUUAUUGAGCUUCUACCAGGAGGCAGGCACUAAGGAAACACAAAUGCAAAAGUUGCUCUUACAGGUAAAUGGA